UACGUAGGGUGCGAGCGUUGUCCGGAAUUAUUGGGCGUAAAGAGCUCGUAGGCGGUUUGUCGCGUCGGCUGUGAAAACCUGGGGCUCAACCCCGGGCCUGCAGCCGAUACGGGCAAACUAGAAUUCGGUAGGGGAGACUGGAAUUCCUGGUGUAGCGGUGAAAUGCGCAGAUAUCAGGAGGAACACCGGUGGCGAAGGCGGGUCUCUGGGCCGAUAUUGACGCUGAGGAGCGAAAGCAUGGGGAGCGAACAGG
rnacentral:rRNA from 1 species